AGAUACUGAUACACGUCUUACGAGGCGUAUCGCGAUACAGAUACAAGAUACCUAAAGAUUAUCUAACAUAGUAUCUAAGAUACCUGUAUCUUCGAUACUGCCCAGCACUGAAAAAUAGCU
rnacentral:lncRNA from 1 species